AACAGUAUCAGAAAGUCUCUACUGUCUCCUUUCACUCUUUUCAGAACAACCAUGGUUAGAUCCAGAAAUCCAGGACUGUGGGCCAUUGGGUUCUGUAUCAAUUUUCAAAAGGUGACAUCAUAGAAUCACAGAAUGUUAGAAUUGGAAGGACAUGGAAUCUAAUCUCUCAUUUGAAACCUGACCUCCUUUUUGUUUUUUACCUGGAUGACACUUUCUGAAAUUUGGAUUUGGGCUUUUGGGUACACAUGAAGAUAUUUACCACUCCUUUAUCACAUAGAGAAAAAUCAGGCUAACUCUUUAAAAAAAUGUUUGCACUAUCACAUACAUACAGAAAAGAGCUCUAAUCUGGGACAUAUCUCAAAAUAAUAAGAGCUAUCUAUGACAAACCCACAGCCAAUAUCAUACUGAAUGGGCAAAAACUGGAAGCAUUCCCUUUGAAAACUGGCACAAGACAGGGAUGCCCUCUCUCACCGCUCCUAUUCAACAUAGUGUUGGAAGUUCUGGCCAGGGCAAUUAGGCAGGAGAAGGAAAUAAAGGGUACUUAAUUAGGAAAAGAGGAAGUCAAAUUGUCCCUGUUUGCAGACGACAUGAUUGUAUAUCUAGAAAACCCCAUUGUCUCGGCCCAAAAUCUCCUUAAGCUGAUAAGCAACUUCAGCAACGUCUCAGGAUACAAAAUCAGUGUACAAAAAUCACAAGCAUUCUUAUGCAUCAACAACAGACAAACAGAGAGCCAAAUCAUGAGUGAACUCCCAUACACAAUUGCUUCAAAGAGAAUAAAAUACCUAGGAAUCCAACUUACAAGGG
rnacentral:lncRNA from 1 species